UACGAAGGGGGCUAGCGUUGUUCGGAAUUACUGGGCGUAAAGCGCACGUAGGCGGGUUGUUAAGUCAGGGGUGAAAUCCUGGAGCUCAACUCCAGAACUGCCUUUGAUACUGGCGAUCUUGAGUCCGGGAGAGGUGAGUGGAACUCCGAGUGUAGAGGUGAAAUUCGUAGAUAUUCGGAAGAACACCAGUGGCGAAGGCGGCUCACUGGCCCGGUACUGACGCUGAUGUGCGAAAGCGUGGGGAGCAAACAGG
rnacentral:rRNA from 1 species